rnacentral:tRNA from 1 species
AACCAGCUAGCUCAGUCGGUAGAACAUGAGACUCUUAAUCUCAGGGUUGUGGGUUCAUGCCCCACGUUGGGCA